CCUACGGGUGUCAGCAGUGGGGAAUAUUGCACAAUGGGCGAAAGCCUGAUGCAGCAACGCCGCGUGAGCGAUGAAGGCCUUCGGGUCGUAAAGCUCUGUCCGCCAGGAAGAUAAUGACGGUACUCGAGGAGGAAGCACCGGCUAACUACGUGCCAGCAGCCGCGGUACUACGUAGGGGGCUAGCGUUAUCCGGAUUUACUGGUCGUAAAGGGUGCGUAGGUGGUUUAUUAAGUCAGAGGUGAAAGGGUAGGGCUCAACCGUAGUAAGCCUUUGAAACUGGGGACCUUGAGUGCAGGAGAGGAGUGCGGAAGUCGUAGUGUAGCGGUGAAAUGCGUAGAUAUUAGGAGGAACACCAGGUGCGAAGGCGGCUCUCCGGACUGUAACUGACACUGAGGCACGAAAGCGUGGGGAGCAAACAGGAUUAGAUACCCGGGUAGUC
rnacentral:rRNA from 1 species